rnacentral:sRNA from 1 species
CCUGGCCCUGGAGGCUUGUCUAGAUUGCGCCGCAUUCCCGCUCAUCGCACACUGCCGUUUCUAACAUUUUCCGUGGCUUUCUAGAUGACCUAUUGUUCAUGCACUUCACUUAGUGCUGUCUUGGACUUUUGGGCCGAGGUUUGCUGGUUGGCUCCCGAGCAGACAGCAGGAAAGAAGAAGCCCUUUGUGUACACCCAGGGCCAGGCUGUCCUAAACCGGGCCUUCUUCCCUUGCUUCGACACGCCUGCUGUUAAAUACAAGUAUUCAGCUCUUAUUGAGGAGCCGGGUGUGGGCUGAGCCCUGCCUGAUUGAUGCUGCCAAGGAGGAGUACAACGGGGUGAUAGAAGAAUUUUUGGCAACAGGAGAGAAGCUUUUUGGACCUUAUGUUUGGGGAAGGUGUGGUAUCACAUUGACUCUAGUGUCUCCUGUUAAACUGAGUCCCUGGCUUCCAUUCUUCCUCUUCGUGUGGCUUCUCCACCUCCUGCCUCCCAGAGCCAAGUUUCCCUGAUCCCAGAAGUGAAGGAGAGGAGGAAAAGAGGAGGGUAUGACUUGCUCUUCAUGCCACCGUCCUUUCCAUUUGGAGGAAUGGAGAACCCUUGUCUGACCUUUGUCACCCCCUGCCUGCUAGCUGGGGACCGCUCCUUGGCAGAUGUCAUCAUCCAUGAGAUCUCCCACAGUUGGUUUGGGAACCUGGUCACCAACGCCAACUGGGGUGAAUUCUGGCUCAACGAAGGCUUCACCAUGUACGCCCAGAGGAGGAUCUCCACCAUCCUCUUUGGUGCUGCGUACACCUGCUUGGAGGCUGCAACGGGGCGGGCUCUG